rnacentral:rRNA from 1 species
GAUCAUGGCUCAGGAUGAACGCUGGCGGCGUGCUUAACACAUGCAAGUCGAACGGACGAUGAAAAGCUUGCUUUUCAAAGUUAGUGGCGGACGGGUGAGUAACGCGUGGGUAACCUGCCUCAUACAGGGGGAUAGCAGCUGGAAACGGCUGAUAAAACCGCAUAAGCGCACAGUACCGCAUGGUACCGUGUGAAAAACUCCGGUGGUAUGAGAUGGACCCGCGUCUGAUUAGCUGGUUGG